rnacentral:rRNA from 1 species
CGAUGGGCCGACGUCGCAUGCUCCCGGCCGCCAUGGUUAGAGUUUGAUCAUGGCUCAGAUUGAACGCUGGCGGAAUGCUUUACACAUGCAAGUCGAACGGCAGCACGGGGGCAACCCUGGUGGCGAGUGGCGAACGGGUGAGUAAUGUAUCGGAACGUACCCCGUCGUGGGGGAUAACUCUCCGAAAGGAGAGCUAAUACCGCAUACGACCUGAGGGUGAAAGCGGGGGACCUGCGAGGGCCUCGCGCGAUGGGAGCGGCCGAUAUCGGAUUAGCUAGUUGGUGAGGUAAAGGCUCACCAAGGCGACGAUCCGUAGCGGGUCUGAGAGGACGACCCGCCACACUGGAACUGAGACACGGUCCAGACUCCUACGGGAGGCAGCAGUGGGGAAUUUUGGACAAUGGGGGAAACCCUGAUCCAGCCAUUCCGCGUGAGUGAAGAAGGCCUUCGGGUUGUAAAGCUCUUUCAGCAGGAACGAAACGGUAGGCUUUAAUACAGUUUGCUAAUGACGGUACCUGCAGAAGAAGCACCGGCUAACUACGUGCCAGCAGCCGCGGUAAUACGUAGGGUGCGAGCGUUAAUCGGAAUUACUGGGCGUAAAGCGUGCGCAGGCGGCGACAUAAGACAGAUGUGAAAUCCCCGGGCUCAACCUGGGGAACUGCGUUUGUGACUGUGUUGCUAGAGUGUAGCAGAGGGGGGGUGGGAUUCCCCGUGUAGCAGUGAAAUGCGUAGAGAUGUGGAGGAACACCGAUGGCAAAGGCAGCCCCUGGGUUUACACUGACGCUCAUGCAC